CAAUAAAAGUUCUUCUCUGUAUCUUGCCCCUUUUUAGAACUCUCUCUUCUGAAACCUCAGGAAAACCUAAUCAAACCCAGCUAAUUUGAAUUACGAGAUGUAAUCAAUAGAAAGUAUUUGUGGUUGUUUUUGGAAUACAUUUGAGGUUGAAGAUCUUAUAAUCUAAAGUAAAAGUUAUUCGUGAAAUUCUUGGGUUUCAUCAGGCUUUAGAAAAUCAAUCAAGUUCAACUAUGGAAGGAAGGAAGGCCUUCGCAGAAAGAUUGCAACCCAUUGAGUUUGAUCCAAGUCCGACUGUGGGAGGAAUUUUGUACAGAUUGAUACAAGAACUAAUAUAUAUGUUAUGGGUUGAUUGCAAUUCUUGCAGUGGUUGUCCAAAAAAAAAAACAGUGGACUUGGAGUAAGACUUAAAGGGUACACUUAAUCUUUUCAAUGCGUUCCUCAAAUCUACCAAGCACAAAGGGAUUAAACAAAGACUAAUUUAGUUCCACAUCAAGUUUUUACUACCUUGGUUAUAAUAGGUUGAUUACAGGAUCGGGUUCCAAUUUAGGCUGAUAGACGUAUGACAACGUGGUCUAAUUGUGAUCGACACCAAGAUUGACGCAACCAAAACUUACGUUACUUCCAGGGUUUUUUCUCCUAGGACUUACAAGUUAGUUCAGUUUCUUGGUUUUCUUCUUAUCUUUCAUUAUAUUCCUUAAAUAGUUAUUGGUUUCAGAGUAUUGAAGAUCAUAGAGAAAUCAAUUUUGGUGUAUUCAAAGAUCAUAGAGAAAUCAAUGUUUUUGUUUUUGUUUUGUUUCUUCACCGAUAAGGUCUAUGUUGUAGCUUUAGUUACACUUUUUUCUAAGAAUUUGUGUUAUCGCUCAUCAGGGUAUGUUCAAUUUGUUUGGAGUUGGGGUUUUUUCUCACUUUCGAGCUUGCAACUACUUAUAGGCAUGUUGUUGUCAAUGUAAGAAUCUAUGUUUUCAAAUUUGCUUCAAAUU